rnacentral:rRNA from 1 species
UACAGAGGGGGCUAGCGUUGUUCGGAAUUACUGGGCGUAAAGCGAGUGUAGGUGGUUGUCCAAGUUGGAUGUGAAAGCCUUGAGCUCAACUCAAGAAAUGCAUUCAGGACUGGGCGGCUAGAGGACCGGAGAGGAUAGUGGAAUUCCCAGUGUAGUGGUGAAAUGCGUAGAUAUUGGGAGGAACACCAGUGGCGAAGGCGGCUCACUGGACCGGAACUGACGCUGAGGCGCGAAAGCGUGGGGAGCAAACAGG